rnacentral:snoRNA from 1 species
UACCAAAAGUUAAUGUUUUGAGGGAAUGUUUUUUACCAGCUUGGGCUGUUUGGGAUAAUAACAUUGACUAAGUUCCAUAGUGGGUUAUAACACACACACACACACAUAUAUAUAUAUAUAUAUAUAUAUAUAUAUAUAUAAUUCACUACUAUUUUGUUCUCUACAUU